CUUUUGAUGUUUUCUUACAGUGAUAUCAGAAGGUCCCAAGCAAGACCAGGAAUUCAACUCUAUAUAUCCAGUACUUCUUGUACAGCGAGAAGAAGUACUGACAACAGAACUAUCAGGCUAUUUGUCUGCCUGCAUUUCAGCACACUGACAAACUCCUCAGUUUCUGCUGUUGAGAGAGGCAAUUAACACAGGUCAUUGUGUUUUGGACCUUACAAUGGAAGCCACAUCUUUGUCUUGCCACUGUCACUUUGUUUGCAAGGGCAGUAAUGGAUGGGUUCAUCCUGUGCAUUUCACCAACUGAGGAAGACAUAUUUCCAAAAAUAUAUUAAUAUCUACAUUUUAAAAAAAUUCUUACCAAAGGAGAUUCAGCUCUGAAAUAUAAAACUAAAAAUUCACAAUUUUUUAAAACAAGUAUUUUUUUCUGAAGUAAACAUCAAUUGUGAUGGCAGACUAGAAUCUUUUUUGAGAAGAUAAAAAUGUUGAAGCACCUUUUGAAAUUAGCAGUUCACGUAUGACUUAAUGCAUUUGAAAUGUCAGUUCAUUUUUCUCUUGGUACCAACAAUAAUGUUGGAAGACUGUCCAGUAAAUAAAAAAUGAAUGUACCAGGAAAGAGCA
rnacentral:lncRNA from 1 species